rnacentral:rRNA from 1 species
GCAAGUGAUGAGAGUAUGUUCGAGUAUCUAAAUGUUGUCAGCAAGAUGUUUGAUAGUGAGGCUGAAGGCUAUGAAUUCUACAACAAAUAUGCUCUUGAAAAAGGUUUUAGUGUGAGGAAAAGCUACGUUGAGUGGGAUGGAUCCAACAAAUACAUAAUUUUAAGGAAAAUUGUGUGUAGUCGUCAAGGGUUUCGCGAAGAGAAGCACAUGAAAAGAAAGAUGGAAGAUAGAAAGAGGAGGCCACGAAGUUUAACUCGUGUUGGGUGUAAUGCUAAAUUGGUCAUUACGAGACAGGAGGAAACCGGUCGGUGGUUUGUCAAGGAUUUCAUCGAUGAGCACAGCCAUCCUCUAGCCCCACGGGAUCUUUCUUGUCUGCUGCGUUCGCACAGACGAAUUAGCGAUGAGCAGAAAGCGGACAUUGUGGACAUGGAAAAAUGUGGGAUCCGCAAAUACCGUAUUAUGGAUAUUUUGUGCUUUCAAUACGGUGGAUUUGAUAAGGUUGGAUGCAUAAAGAGGGACAUUUAUAAUUUCUGCCAUGCUAAUAAGCAGGAGACAAUCAGUGCCGGUGAUGCUAAUACGGUGAUCAUGCACAUGAUGGCGAGGCGAGAGCGAGAUGUGGAUUUUUUCUUCAAGUACUUGGUAGACGAGCAUGGCCAUCUGAAGGGACUGUUCUGGGCUGAUAGUCAAUCGCGACUUGACUACGAGGCUUUCGGAGACAUCAUUGUUUUCGAUAGCACAUACAGAACCAACAAAUACAAUCUGCCAUUCGUGCCGUUUGUCGGGUUGAAUCACCACCGCAGCACUGUUAUUUUUGGCUGUGGUAUAAUUUCUCAUGAAACAAGCCAGGCAUACGAGUGGAUGUUGCGGACCUUUUCUGAUUGCAUGGCACAGAAGCAUCCGAUAUCUGUGAUCACAGAUGGGGACCUUGCAAUGCAGAGAGCAAUCAGGGUGGUCUGGCCAGACUCAAACCAUAGACUAUGUAUAUGGCACAUUCAGCAGAACAUUGUACGCCAUCUGCAUGAUGACGACGUAAAGGAGGAAUUCAGAUCUUUCAUUUAUGAUACUUCUUUCAUUGAAGAGCAUGAGAUAAAACGGAUACAAUUCUUACAACGGAAUAAAGUAACCAGUGAGGAGUCUUGGCUGCAUCAGAUGUAUCAGAUGAGAAAGUUGUGGUGUGCUCCAUAUCUUGAGGGGCGUUGUUUCCUAGGAUUGAGCAGCAAUCAGAGGAGUGAGAGCUUGAACUCUGUGCUACAUACGCAUCUUGAGGGUAAGAUGUCGUUGUUUGAAAUGCUAGAGCACUAUGAGCGUUGCCUUGCGUCGCGACGGAUUAAGGAAGCUCUCCAAGACGUCGAAGCCUUGCAGUCUGUUCCAUUUACAGAGGAAAAUGCUUCGCCACUUGAGAAACACGCCGCAACAGUUUUCACACCUAGUGUCUUUAAGAUGGUCUUAUGGAGCAUAGAUGCUGUCAGCAAAUGUCAGAUCAGAGAGAUACUAGAUGGAUCAGAAGAUUCCACUUAUGUUGUGUCCAAGCAGGAAAGAAUGGAUAAAAAGUUUGGAGUGCGCAUUGAAGAGCAAGGAGGUCUUUUGCACAGGGUGAGUUGUUCUUGCCGUAAGCUGGAAUGCGCAGGCACACCAUGUUCCCACAUUUUUUACCUAUUGGGGAUUUUAAAACAAACAAUUCUGCCCAGUUGUUGCGUUCCCACUAGGUGGACUAUGAAUGCAAAAUGU